UAGUUAAGAGGGCCUGAGUUGCCUUACUGUCACCAGGACAAUUUCAUGUUACUGUUAUAGAAGCUGCUAAUUUAUUAGAUCAGACAGAUAGAAUUGUACCCUAAGUAGAGAAACAGUUUUUGGUGACGAAACAAGAAGCAUUAGAUAUUUAAAAGUUUCAGUAUAUAGCUAAUUAUAUGAAAAUUUUAUCCAUAUAGUUGCACCAGGAAAAAAAAAAUAGCCUUAUUGCCCAAAGCCUCAUUAAAAAGCCCAAAUGCAUUAAAUUACAGAAAGUCUUCAAAGACCAAAACUCUUCAGAAUGCUUCUAGCUAUUUAGAAAAUUUCACUUUAUAAGCAAAGAUGCAUUUGAAAUAAAUUUCUGCAAAGCCAAAAUCUAAGUCAUCUCAAAGGUGGAUGUCAGAAGGUAAGAGUUGGAUUUCUCACUCUAAAGAUCCAGAAGUGUCCGUCUGUCUCCUCCAAAACAACUCUCUACUUGUUACACACAUUGUUGUGUCAUAAAUUUUGUUGCUUAGAAUCAGAGAGAAAUUUUCUGCAAGAACUACUCCAAGAAGCAAACUCUGUGGGGGGGACGGGGAUGACUCUGAGUCAGUGGAAGCAGUUGCAAGGUGUUCCCAUUCCCACUAAUGGUGACAGACCUUCAGAAUACUAAGAAAACACUUGUAGCACACAGCUGCAGCAGCAUGCCUGUUCACUCUAGUAAAACAUAGACCAGAGAGUGAAGUUGAGAGGUACCCCUACUAGAAGCCAGGAAGGUCACAGCAUGAAACUUUUCUCCACAGUACAUCAUAGCUGUUAAAUAAAUCUAGGAGGAACUUCAGAAGUUCUAAUAUGUCAGAUCAGAACUUGGUGAUUUCAUUUACAGAAAAAAUAAUUAAGUAUACCUGCAGCAGCAGUUCUUGUAGUUGGGCUCGCUUCUGUUUUAUCCUUUCAAUCCGCUUCUGUUUUUCUAUCUUAAAAUAUAAAUGCAUCAAGAUAUUUACUUGGUUACCUUGUUUGUUCCAGUGUGCCAAACUGAAGAGGCUUUACAGCUGCACCUUACAGAAAUACACACUUUCUUUAAAAAUGGUGGUGGAUUCCAGGGCACAUUAUGCCAUAGGAAGCAACAUUUUAAAAAACUACGCCUGGCUUCCAUUUUGUGCAUUUGUAAUUGGAGCCUGAAACGGUGAAAAGCGUAAGAUCAUGGUUGAUGAGACAAUGAAAUUCAAGUUCCAGAUGUGUAACAACAACCUAUAUUUAAAAUAAUGCAUUCACUGGAAUGAAUAUGAAAAUGUACAUUUAGCUGUAGCUCUUUAAAAAAUAGUAUCCUGAAGAAAAAUGGUUGAGCAUCUGCCUACUUGCUGGGUGGAUGUAUUUUCCAGGUUGCUGCAAUGGACAGACAGUAAAAGCUUCUUUGGUACCACAUCUAGAAUGACACUUGAUGUAAAUUAACUUGCACAAAAAUAAUUGUUCUGUACUGCAGAGGCAUCCCACCCACCUUUUAAGGUAUAUGAUGCCACAAGUAUCACAAAUACAAUACACAUUAAGAUGUAUUUACAAUCAGUGCAGCAGUAUGCAGUAAAUACAGUAACUUGUGAUUUUUAUUUAUAGAGCAUUUGGCCUGAAGGACAAGCAACAUUUGUGCAUAUGAAUUCUGGCAUCCUUACAAAAAACACAGUAACUCACAGCCUGCUGGAGAAAUAAUGGAAACCACCAAUAAGUAAAACUUCCUUUUUUUUCCCUGUCAGUUUUUAAGUAGCAUUUAACAUCCUAGCAGGAAUUACUUUUCAGCUUCAUUUCCUGCGAUUGGCAUUUCCAAGUACAGACAGGAAUAUAAAAUUGGUCUCCUUUUAAAUAUAUACCAUUUUCUAAGCAUAGCCACACCAUAUAUUCUUGCGACUUUUCUGCUGGUUAAUUCUGGCUACUUUAAUCUUAAAAGUAUUCCCUGAUUUUUGUAAGGUAAACAGGUGGGGUUUUUCCCCAAACUUCAUGUUGUAUACUACACAAAACUGCACUAAGCAUACAUAAACAUAUCCUUUCAGUUUAUUCAAAUAUCAAAGGAGGUAUUUUCAUAGUGUUCAAGAAUGAAAACCAAUCUGGUUCAAACUGAGGGAAAAAAAACCCUCUUCUAAAGUCAAGCACCUCCAUUAUCACAACCUUUGACCUAUGCAAAAUUUCCCAUGUACCUCACCUUACCUCUAGAUUCUGACAUUCCUGAGCCGAGUUUGUGGGAAGGCCAAUCCAUCUGAUUUCCUUCUUCUCUUUUGAAAUUAUGUUCAUUGCCAUCAGGACAUUAAGGGCAUCAUAAACUCUCCGCCUAAUGUUUUUCUGAUCAUAAGCCUGCUAAGAAAACAAUACAGAAUUAAGUACAAUAAAAAUUCAAAAAGGAAAAAGAUAUGGAACAUAUCCUUUAGAGAUACACAGAAGAUAAAAAGCUGGAAUGGCAGUUCAGAGGGGUAUUAAAACAUGAUGCCUUUAUCGGUGCUACUACUUGGGUACCACGUGAGCUCUCUGGUUGCAGACGGAAGCCUCAGGCCUGCUUGAAGCCUCUAUGCAGCAGAUUCACACCUUGGUGAUACAGUGCACACAGUGCUGAAGAGCUCGCGGUGUAUUACUUCACAUUGUUACCUUACCAUUUCAAAACCAGGGCUCACAGCAGAUACUUUCGCAGCUAAAACCUGGCAAUGCUAAAAAACGGAGCUGAACAAAAAUUGUGGAUUUGAAGCUCCAUGCCAUGAAAGCCUCAUGUGCUGGUUGCACAACCCAGAACCCACCAAUAGAUGUCUUCCUCAGCACUGCAGGAUCUGUGUCUGUGGCAACCCCUGUCCAUGGUGCUUAACGUCACAGGCCAUGUGGUUUGGGCUGGCUGCAGUUGGCGCAGGGGCUGCUGUGUUCCUGUGCACAACAGGGACCUGGACUGGCAGUAAAUGAAAGGAGAACUGCCCCAGGACUGUAAGCCAGGCUGCUGAAGGUAGUAUGGAGCCCUGAGAGUGAACAUGCUCUUGUCUUAUUUGAUUUAGGAAACAACUUGGAAUCUGUGAAGAGGAGCAAACAAUGGGUAAAGCAAGGAGCCUGGGUUUGUGGUCCUCUGGAACUGUCUUCAGCAAGGGGUCACCUCUUAGGCUUGGCAGUACCACAGAGCCUUCCUCAACUCUGAUUUUCAGAUGAAAAUAUGACCUGUUGUAUGGACUUCUGCAGAGAUCAAUACUGAUCAGCCAGUCUGGAGAGAACAUCUUGCUCCUUUUUAUGGGUGAAACAAUAGUUAGGCUCAUUGGAAAUACUGUGGAUUUUUACAGGAUAUGAAUGAAAGGAUGGUGCUCUUCCUUGGUGGUGGUGGUUGACACACUGCAAUAGGCUUCCCUCUGGUAAUCUCCAUCACCAGGUUUUGAUGAAGCUUAAGAAAGCUAAUGAGUGUUGAGUCUUUGGUUUAGCAGCUGUGAACAAACACUGCUGCUUUUCCCCUCCUCUGGGGACUGAACCAACUUCUGUCUGGCCUCCACAUGUCCCAAAAUUUGGUGGAACAAAGUAAUCUUUGAAAACUUUUCCAAAUAAAAUCAGAACUAAGAGAUUUAAAAGGGAUUUAUGGAAAUAAACACAUACUCAGGGAAAAAAAAAUCCUAACUUAAAGACAUCCCAGCUGGGCAUGCAGUUUAACGAUUUGGUGCUCAGGAUACACUGACUGGGAAGUACAAGCCUAGGACACUCCUUGCUUACAGCACAGAAUAAAGAAAGUCAAGGUACAACUACUGUACUCUCCCCUUCAGCUGUUUCUUAGAUACUCCAUUUUGCCACCUCUGGGGCUGGAAAGGUACCAUUGACACUCAUGACUGAUUACAGAAGUUAACCAAAAUGCAGAAAUAAAUGUUUAAUUUUCAGAGACAAAGCACUACAUCUGUCUUGAGACAGAAAUGCUCAGCAGUACUGGUAUUGAAAGAAAAACCAAACCAUGAAAUACUGUAAGACCAGAUUUCCUUAGAGGAGAUAAAGACAGUCAUGUUACUAUGGAGUAUCUCAGAACCCCAUGAAAACUUGUUGCUACUGUAAAAUAGUAGUAGAAGUACAACACUGAUUACAUUCAACAUUUUCCAUUAGAGUUAGGUCUUAAACACCUUUGAAAAUGUUUCUGAGUGUCUCUCCCUCUGUUGGCACCCUCCAAUAUGUUCAGUAGCAAAGCUAUUUGGAUAUACCAUGAAUUAAUAAAAAAAAAAAAAAAGGCUUGUUUUAACAGGA